GACGAACGCUGGCGGCGUGCCUAAUACAUGCAAGUUGAGCGCUGAAGGUUGGUACUUGUACCAACUGGAUGAGCAGCGAACGGGUGAGUAACGCGUGGGGAAUCUGCCUUUGAGCGGGGGACAACAUUUGGAAACGAAUGCUAAUACCGCAUAAAAACUUUAAACACAAGUUUUAAGUUUGAAAGAUGCAAUUGCAUCACUCAAAGAUGAUCCCGCGUUGUAUUAGCUAGUUGGUGAGGUAAAGGCUCACCAAGGCGAUGAUACAUAGCCGACCUGAGAGGGGGAUCGGCCACAUUGGGACUGAGACACGGCCCAAACUCCUACGGGAGGCAGCAGUAGGGAAUCUUCGGCAAUGGACGAAAGUCUGACCGAGCAACGCCGCGGGAGGGAAGAAGGGUUUCGGAUCGUAAAACUCUGUUGGUAGGGAAGAACGUUGGUGGGAGUGGAAAGCUCAUCAAGUGACGGUAACUACCCAGAAAGGGACGGCUAACUACGUG
rnacentral:rRNA from 1 species